AGCUUGCUACCUGACCUAGCGGCGGACGGGUGAGUAAUGCUUAGGAAUCUGCCUAUUAGUGGGGGACAACAUUCCGAAAGGAAUGCUAAUACCGCAUACGCCCUACGGGGGAAAGCAGGGGAUCUUCGGACCUUGCGCUAAUAGAUGAGCCUAAGUCAGAUUAGCUAGUUGGUGGGGUAAAGGCCUACCAAGGCGACGAUCUGUAGCGGGUCUGAGAGGAUGAUCCGCCACACUGGGACUGAGACACGGCCCAGACUCCUACGGGAGGCAGCAGUGGGGAAUAUUGGACAAUGGGCGAAAGCCUGAUCCAGCCAUGCCGCGUGUGUGAAGAAGGCCUUUUGGUUGUAAAGCACUUUAAGCGAGGAGGAGGCUACUGAGAUUAAUACUCUUGGAUAGUGGACGUUACUCGCAGAAUAAGCACCGGCUAACUCUGUGCCAGCAGCCGCGGUAAUACAGAGGGUGCGAGCGUUAAUCGGAUUUACUGGGCGUAAAGCGUGCGUAGGCGGCUUUUUAAGUCGGAUGUGAAAUCCCUGAGCUUAACUUAGGAAUUGCAUUCGAUACUGGGAAGCUAGAGUAUGGGAGAGGAUGGUAGAAUUCCAGGUGUAGCGGUGAAAUGCGUAGAGAUCUGGAGGAAUACCGAUGGCGAAGGCAGCCAUCUGGCCUAAUACUGACGCUGAGGUACGAAAGCAUGGGGAGCAAACAGGAUUAGAUACCCUGGUAGUCCAUGCCGUAAACGAUGUCUACUAGCCGUUGGGGCCUUUGAGGCUUUAGUGGCGCAGCUAACGCGAUAAGUAGACCGCCUGGGGAGUACGGUCGCAAGACUAAAACUCAAAUGAAUUGACGGGGGCCCGCACAAGCGGUGGAGCAUGUGGUUUAAUUCGAUGCAACGCGAAGAACCUUACCUGGUCUUGACAUAGUAAGAACUUUCCAGAGAUGGAUUGGUGCCUUCGGGAACUUACAUACAGGUGCUGCAUGGCUGUCGUCAGCUCGUGUCGUGAGAUGUUGGGUUAAGUCCCGCAACGAGCGCAACCCUUUUCCUUAUUUGCCAGCGGGUUAAGCCGGGAACUUUAAGGAUACUGCCAGUGACAAACUGGAGGAAGGCGGGGACGACGUCAAGUCAUCAUGGCCCUUACGACCAGGGCUACACACGUGCUACAAUGGUCGGUACAAAGGGUUGCUACCUAGCGAUAGGAUGCUAAUCUCAAAAAGCCGAUCGUAGUCCGGAUUGGAGUCUGCAACUCGACUCCAUGAAGUCGGAAUCGCUAG
rnacentral:rRNA from 1 species